rnacentral:rRNA from 1 species
AACGAACGCUGGCGGCAUGCCUAACACAUGCAAGUCGAACGAGACCUUCGGGUCUAGUGGCGCACGGGUGCGUAACGCGUGGGAACCUGCCCUUAGGUUCGGAAUAACUCCCCGAAAGGGGUGCUAAUACCGGAUAAUGUCUUCGGACCAAAGAUUUAUCGCCUUUGGAUGGGCCCGCGUUGGAUUAGCUAGUUGGUAGGGUAAAAGCCUACCAAGGCGACGAUCCAUAGCUGGUCUGAGAGGAUGAUCAGCCACACUGGGACUGAGACACGGCCCAGACUCCUACGCGAGGCAGCAGUGGGGAAUAUUGGACGAUGGGCGAAAGCCUGAUCCAGCCAUGCCGCGUGAGUGAUGAAGGCCUUAGGGUUGUAAAGCUCUUUUACCCGGGAUGAUAAUGACAGUACCGGGAGAAUAAGCUCCGGCUAACUCCGUG